UUAAUGUCUUCUGCUGGGAGGAAAAUGGU
rnacentral:piRNA from 1 species